GACGAACGCUGGCGGCGUGCCUAAUACAUGCAAGUCGAGCGAACCAAUAAGAAGCUUGCUUUUUGUUGGUUAGCGGCGGACGGGUGAGUAACACGUGGGUAACCUGCCUGUAAGACCGGGAUAACUCCGGGAAACCGGUGCUAAUACCGGAUAGAUUAUCUUUCCGCCUGGAGAGAUAAGGAAAGAUGGCUAUUGCCAUCACUUACAGAUGGGCCCGCGGCGCAUUAGCUAGUUGGUGAGGUAACGGCUCACCAAGGCGACGAUGCGUAGCCGACCUGAGAGGGUGAUCGGCCACACUGGGACUGAGACACGGCCCAGACUCCUACGGGAGGCAGCAGUAGGGAAUCUUCCGCAAUGGACGAAAGUCUGACGGAGCAACGCCGCGUGAGUGAAGAAGGUCUUCGGAUCGUAAAGCUCUGUUGUUAGGGAAGAACAAGUAU
rnacentral:rRNA from 1 species